UGAUAGCGUUGAAGCGAAAGUUGCUGAAAGUAACCCAGAUGAAUCGGCAUGUAUGUGUUCAAUAGAACACAGGGUUAGAACAGGUAAUUUCGUGGAGCGAAGGUCAAGUCUAUGAAAUUUGACGGCAA
rnacentral:ncRNA from 1 species